CUCAUUUUUCCUGGCUCUGGGUAAGUAGUUCACCUCUAUGUGCUGUGGGCUCAACUUUUUUUUUUUUCUUUCCUUAUUUUUUUUUUUUUUUUUUUGGUCUUUCAAGACAGGGUUUCUCUGUGUAGCCCUGGCUGCCCUGGAACUCACUCUGUAGACCAGGCUGCCCUCGAACUCAAAAUCUGCCUGUCUCUGCCUCCCAAGUGCUGGGAUCAAAGGCGUGGGCCACCUGUAUUUUCUUAUGUAAUGUUUGUUUCUGGUGGGUUAAAAGACCCUCCUGGACAGCGUUGGUAGACAUGGACCUUGGUAAUCUGUUCCGUAGACAUAGCGGGGAGACCAUGUUAGAGCAUUCAAGACCUAAAGAUUACAGGAUUUUGUGAAGGACAAAAUGGUGGCGGCAGUACAAGGCCACCCCCUAUGAUGAGGACCUUUUCACAGACCUGUACUGAUAUCUCUGUGAGGAUAAAUAACUCUGAGGAGGAUGGCCCUACCCCUACAGCCUUCUCACCCUGUAGAGAUCUCUUGGUGUAGAAAUAACACAUGCUAACUUAUCUCUACAGGUUUGAGGUGCUACUUACAAACAAAAGGAUGGGAAUAUGCUCUUUUCUCAGAGUAAGUGUUAAUGAUUUUACUAGGGUUUUUUGGUUGUUGAGUACGAGAUGUGUGUGCUACGGGGAUGAUACGAAAACUGAACUCUCUCUUUCUGAUGGUUUAGUGGAGAAAACAUAAUUAUCUGAGUAGCACAAUCUGGUGGGUAUUUGGGUGGUUUGGCAUAAAGUCUUAUUGAAGUUCGGGUUUUUUCUAUUCCAGAUAUGGUUCAUCUCAAGGCCAUUUACACUUUGGAGCCAGGCCUGUUCAGUUUUACAAAUAGCACAGGUAAGUAUUGAUGGUUUGUGCUUUCUUAGGGAGUAUAUUUAGAUGGCCACUUGAUGAUGAACAAUGUGAAAGACAAGCAUAUGGCUGAGCUGUGGUGAUGUCAUCUCACUACUGAGAAGUGGGCUGAAGAAAGAAGGUGCUGAGGUGGCUGUGAUUACAUUUUAAAAUGACAUAGUUUCUGUUUCCAGGUUACUGUGACAACAUGAAGAGUUGAAGGUACCUCCCAGGAUGAUUGCAGGUAAUUGUCCAAGUAGAGCUUGGGCUUUCUCUAGGGAGACAUUGAAAUAGCACACUACAUUUUUGCUGCUUAUUCUGUGUAUUUCUAGAGAACCUUAUAUUAAGGCCUUUGUUCUCUUAAAAACUCAACUGUCAGAUGAUUUGAAAUGAUGACACUGAUAACACUCCAUGAAGGUGUGACUUUAUAGCAUGUUAGAGUUCUGAUGGCAGUUAGCGCUGACGAAGAGAUUGAAGUUCUGUCCUUAUGGUUGGAAAUAACUGCUUGCUACUUGCUCUUCACAGAUUUUCCCGGUGGUGAGUCUCCGGCAUUCAAAGGUUAGAUUAUUUUGCAUUGGGUUUGUUCACUAGGUUGGCUGUUUCUAUGAUGAAUCAAACUAGCUCACUAUGACUGCUAAUGAAAACACAGGAACACCUGAGAAACGGAAAGGUAGCAUGUGGGGGCAAGAGCACUUAUAUCCAGCCUUUUCAACCUUGGCUAUUUUUCUCCAGGUUCUGUUAGUGCCAUACUUGUUGGUUUACAGAGAUGGUGUGUCUGGCUGAGACCAAAGGAGCCAUGCCAGGUACAUGUUUUAGCAAUGCUUUUUGUAGUAUUAGCUUGAAUAUAUAAUACUUAGACCUAGUGAAUUCUUGCUCACCCUGAUGAAUUGAAUACCGCCCCAGUCUGAUAGCUGUGAAGAAAGGUAUUUUCUGAGUUGUGAGCUCAUCUUGGAUUAAGUAGGAGAUUUUUUUAUGUUAGUAUGAUUUCUGUAAAAGAAGCUUAAAUGUUAAUGGCCCAAAAUUUUUUGCUGUUUUUCAGGAAAGUUAAAGCGUAUCUUCAUUUUUAAGUCCAGGCUAAAGUAAGGUGAGAAAACUUAUGUAAAGUAUGCUGAACUAUAGUUUCCCCAUGAAGAAAUGUUCAAACGUCCUACUUCCUGUCCUAGCUCCAGAGCCUGAAAAGGUGAACCCACUGGGGCUGGCUGGGGGAAAAGAGGAAACUUUGUUCCAGAAGGAACUGUCUGAGGGAUCAUAUUUAUGCAUAGAAAGGGAAGAGUUAUUGAUUAAAAAGGAAACAAAAGGUUAUUUCCUUGUCUUCCAGGUCUGAGGAAAAGAAUGAGCUGCAUGAGAAAGAUAGGUAAGUCCAUCAUCUAUUGUCUCAUCUGGUAUUAAAUGUAGGAUGACUUGGCUUUCUACUCCUAAAUCAAAUUUUUUUAUCUUACAGGAACAGAUCAUCAAAUCUGAUUGUCCGGGCCAGUGUUGCAUCAUAACAGGCCACUUUAAAAUGAAGUGAAAUUGACAAUUGUGAAUUUAACCUUCCUUGAUUACUACAUUGUUAACUCUAGGAACUAGUAUCUGGUCCUUACUACAUUGUUAACUUGUAGACCUGUGUUUAUGUCUAGCAAUAAAUGCUCUUUAUGCU
ensembl:processed_transcript